AUUGUGCUGUCGUUAAAGAACCGUUCUCAGUAUAGGUAGAUAAAUACUCAUUCGCUCCCACCAACGGUGUUGCAGUUCAAUGGUCACACUUUCGCUGGAUGUAUUACUGGCGGGGCAGUACCAUAUAGUAAAGCAAACAGAUAGGGUGUAAAUUGUGAUGAAAACAUGUGAAAUUGUACUUGGCCACGUAAGAGAAGGAGUUGUUUUUUUAAAGAUAGUAUACGCAUUUUAUAAAAAGAAGCUGGUGAAUAAAGAUAAAGAUUGACAGUAUUAAAAGGAAACGGGAGUAUUUUUGAAUGAGCAUAGAAAAGGCGUGGUGUAGCUAGAUGCAAAUUGAAAGAUUGUUUUAUUUUUACAAGACUUUUUUAGUCAAUGGAGUUUUGUUAGAAAGUUUUGCGGAGCUUUUGUGACUAUAUUGAUUUGAACAUUGAAAACACAAAAAAAUACGUGCCGAUCUCUGAAUUUUAUGCGGAAUGGCUGGUAUGCCCAGUUUAAUGGAUGCUGUAAAGUGAACAUCUAAGCUAAAAAACUUCUAGUAGCAAUGAAGAAUCGAAUGAAGACACUACGUGAUAGUAUACCAUUUAUAGCUUGUAUUUAUAUGGAUCUCCGAUUUAUUUUUUUAGAUCAAACAGACUGAGUAAUACUGAAAAACCAGAAGAAGCAUUGACUGAUAUAAGAACAUGUCGCAGUGAUAAAAUGAUAAGAGAUAUUAUGCCUAAUAUGAAUUCGUCGUUGUGGCUACAAGUAACGGCCAUUAUCGGAACUAAAACGCACCAGUUAAGCAUUCACGCAAUUUACAGCGCUUCUUAUCAUUUUAAGCGACAUUGAACAUGUAGAAUAAUUGUAGGCUCUAUAUCAUCACGCGAAAUGAGAACCGCUUGAAGUCUCGGUAGUAAAAUCAAAGCAAUGGAACAUACACUAAAUAGUCAAGCAAUCUUCUGCAGCGCUUCAAAGUGGGGUAGAACAAUUUUAGUUUUAACAUUUUAGGUAAACGUUGAUGAAGAUCAGUUAUUUACACAAGCUUAUAGAUAAAAUCAUGAACAUGUUGGAUAGAAGAGAACUUUAGGAAAGUUGGGUUUAUAUGUGAAAAACAAAGAAAUUCAUCAUUUAAAGUCACACGUCUGUGUGUCAUCGACAACUUCUUUAAAAUGGGCAAUAAAUAAUAACGCAUGUGAAUUUUAUUGCACUGAGCAACAUAUUGAUCAUAGCUGAAAAAUAUCUCGAUUAACCACAAGAUAUCCCUUAUAUACGUUUUCCUGAAAUCCAUCCACGCCCCAGUUUAGUCCUAUCCCCUUCCGCCUACAUCCAACCAAACGACAAGAACACGUUAAGACCCCGGAUCCGGAAACAGCAAUCAGACCCGCACGAAACUCUCAAGGCCCGAUGGAAACAACCCAAUAUGCCAAUCCGUAAUAUCUUGGCCCAGCAGCGGAACAAAUUUAAUAUACUGCUUACCUAUGGCAACGAAAACCAUCAAACAGCAAACCUGUGCUUUUAAUGCAAAAUAUUCUAGCUUAAAGUUAGAUUUAGUUUCGGCUCGUAGUCGGCAGCGAGGAUAAAAAAUUUGCUUUUAGUUAUUAAGAUACUUUAGAAAGUAAGCUUCCAGAUAUAAUUGGCGCCGUUAAACAUUGAAUUGUAUUUGUGCCGUGUCAAAUAAACUAUA